UGUGUUAGUAUGUGCAUAAGGAAG
rnacentral:piRNA from 1 species